rnacentral:rRNA from 1 species
AUUGAACGCUGGCGGCAGGCCUAACACAUGCAAGUCGAACGGUAACAGGAAGAAGCUUGCUUCUUUGCUGACGAGUGGCGGACGGGUGAGUAAUGUCUGGGAAACUGCCUGAUGGAGGGGGAUAACUACUGGAAACGGUAGCUAAUACCGCAUAACGUCGCAAGACCAAAGAGGGGGACCUUCGGGCCUCUUGCCAUCGGAUGUGCCCAGAUGGGAUUAGCUAGUAGGUGGGGUAACGGCUCACCUAGGCGACGAUCCCUAGCUGGUCUGAGAGGAUGACCAGCCACACUGGAACUGAGACACGGUCCAGACUCCUACGGGAGGCAGCAGUGGGGAAUAUUGCACAAUGGGCGCAAGCCUGAUGCAGCCAUGCCGCGUGUAUGAUGAAGGCCUUCGGGUUGUAAAGUACUUUCAGCGGGGAGGAAGGGAGUAAAGUUAAUACCUGUACUCAUUGACGUUACCGGCAGAAGAAGCACCGGCUAACUCCGUG